rnacentral:rRNA from 1 species
GUUGUUUAAUUCGAAGAUACACGAAGAACCUUACCAGGUCUUGACAUACCAUUGACAGGUCUAGAGACUAGACCCUCCUUCGGGCAAUGGAUACAGGUGGUGCAUGGUUGUCGUCAGCUCGUGCCGUGAGGUGUUGGGUUAAGUCCCGCAACGAGCGCAACCCUCAUUGUUAGUUACUACCAUUCAGUUGAGGACUCUAAUGAGACUGCCAACGACAAGUUGGAGGAAGUGGGAUGACGUCAAAUCAUCAUGCCCUUUAUGACCUGGGCUACAAACGUACUACAAUGGCCAAUACAAAGAGAUGCGAAGCGGUGACGUGGAGCGAACCUCAGAAAGUUGGUCUCAGUUCAGAUUGAAGUCUGCAACUCGACUUCAUGAAGGCGGAAUCGCUAGUAAUCGCGAGUCAGCAGAUCGCGGUGAAUACGUUCCCGGGUUUU